CCCCAUUCCACUACACCUCUGAAUUACAACACUGGAAAUAAGCACGCCCACAGAAAGAACGGCGGACCAGCCAAGAUAGUGAUCCAUACGAAAAACUAAACUUGAGACUAUACCCACCCUUAUCCUGUAUUUUUAUCAAUGAUACGAAUAACGAAAUGAUUUGUACAAUAUUUUAUGGCAGAGAAAGAUGUGGUGUAGUAUUUUGGGGGUUGUUCCAUCAGCUAACCGAGAUUUCCUAUAACCAGCCAAAGUUUUGGAUAUAUCUAAUUACCAUGUAAUUUUGUUUGGAAUUGGAAUGUUUUAUUAUCUGCCACUAUUUUCAUUUACGUAAAGGAAAGAUUAGGUAAGAAGUCAAUGUAUUAUGGAUAACAAAAUAGGAGAAAUGAUUUGAAGAAUGAUUUGAGGUAAAUAACAGUGACAAAGAGCCAUCCAUAAAAAACAUUACUGGCAAGGGAUGUCUCCCGGAGCAUGAAAGAGAAAUGAACAAUAUAUUGUGAACGUUAGACACAGCAUUGCCACAAUUGGAAUGAAAAUCAAAUUGCAAUCCUUCAAGUUUGUUUGCAAAUUCUAUGGCUUGUUUGUAAUGGUUUCUCACAACUGUAAUUUGAUUUCAAUAAUUGGAAGUCCUAGUCUUUAAAUGCAUUUUCAACACGAGUUUUUUGAGAAUUUCACGAGCCACUUCAAAAUUGGUAUACAACCCUUAGCCCAGUUCACUUUGAUCAUGACACGCCACGCCUAGGUUAUUGUAAGAACCAACAACAUCAGCAUAGUUUUUCCUUAUUAAUUGCAUGUUUUUCGUCAAUUUCCAGUGCCCAUGCACACUAGAGAGACUAGACAGUCUAGCCUGUCCUCAAGUUUUUUUUUAAAUGUCAUUUUCGAACCGUGCACAGGCUUGCUCGUAAAAAGUUACGAGAAAACAUCUGAGGAGGAUGGCAAGUCUUCACAGCUUUGUGUAGGGGUUUAUUGUUUGAACAAUCCCUUUUCCCUAUUUUACCUGCUAUUGUUUCGUGUAAAAGUUAUAGAACAUCGUGCCUUUGAUUUUGAGACUGUUUUCCACCUUUUCAUCAAUGCGGCCAUGAAUGAAGUGGCCAUCAAAUAGCCGUUCAUGGUAACUUGGUGAAGUGGUAAACUGCUUGGCAGUUGCUAUGCAUAAUUACUCUAUUCCAAUUAUCAUGCAGUGCCAGUUGACGAUAAUCCUUAGCUUUUCCCAGUUCACUUUUUCAAGAUAUAAUGUAUCCAGGCUGUUGUAAAAAACAGCAAUUUUGACAUAGUUUGGACCUAAUUGUUCUUUAAUACAAAACCCAACCCAGAACGUUUACAUGAAUUUGCCAUCAAUUGGUCGUUGUGGUGGUUGGCUAAGUCAGAAGACAAAGUUUAAAAUACAAAAGACACACUUUUGUCCACUAAAAUAGCAUCUCUGUAAGGGCGUUACUAUAAACUAAGGCAUUGAUCAUCUCGUUAGAUGGAGCUGUGGCAUGGAAUUGUAUGGAAUUUAAAAUUCCCUCGUGGCAGUUAUUGAUUUCAGUGAUGAAGGCCUGGAGCUGUUGCGGAUUCAACUGUGUGAUAAUAACAGUUUUCCUCGACCAAACUGGAAUGGAGGUUUAGACUGUUUAGUUUGCAUUGACACUGGUGUUUAUUUUCCUUCUACGGAGGAUACCAUAAUUUUCGUGCCGCAGAUGAUAAUCGACCAGGGGUUGGUUAGAGUGAGAAAAUAAUGUUAAUUCUUUUCAUUUCAUACAGUAGGCUUGUAUUUGAGCCAAUGUAGGAAAUAGAAUAUCGUCUCUUCCUGUCUGUGUUAGACUAUUUUCCACAUGUUGGAGGGCGUUGUAAUUUAUGAGUUGAUAAAGCUGUUUAUGAUUUGAAGAACGUUUUUAUUUCAGGACUCUAAUACUGACUUGUAAUCUUUCAUCUCAUGUUGUGUACCGCCAAUGUUGUUAUAACUUAGAGCAGUGUCAGAAUAGUCUUCUCCAAACAAUUUUAAUCUGAUUUGAAGAACAUCAUAACUCCAACAGUCAUAACUCCAACGCUGACUUGUAAUCUUUCAUCUCAUAUUGUGUGUUUCCAAUGCUGUAAUAACUUAGAGCAGUAUCAGAUUAGUCUUCUCCAAACAGUUUUAAUCUGAUUUGAAGAGCAUGCUGAUAUGACUCCAACGCUGACUUGUAAUCUUUCGUCUCAUAUUGACAGUAUAAUUGUGUAACUCCAAUGUAGUUAUAACUUCUAGCAGUGUCAGAAUGGUCUUCUCCAUACAAUUUUAAUCUGAUUUGAAGAUCUUUUUGUUUCGAUGCCAAUGUUUUACUCUAAUAAUGUUGUACGAUUUCUUGUCGCACUGUAUUGUUGUUUUAAGCAAACUAAGCUAAUGCUUUAGUUGACAUGAAGAAUACGGGAUAUUUGAAAGAAAUACGACGCCCAUCAAAUGUUUGUUUACCGCAAAGUCUAAAUGUUUAUGAUACAUUUGCUCGUUAAAGGUCACGGGGAAAUAUCCAAGAAUUGGAUAAUUUGCUCCAUAAUUAGUUUCCUGCCAUGGUUUGUUGUAAAAUUUCUAGGACAUCGUCUCUUCGUGUAUGAGUAGACUAAUUUCCACAUGUCGUAGAGCAUUGUUGUUAAGAUGACCAUCAGUGAUAACAUGAUCAAGUGACGGUAAAUAUUCUUUCACAAGACAGUUUAUCACGAGGAUAAGUCUUCCUAUCACUGCAAGUGGAAUCGACAUUCUAAACGGUUUGGUAAUUAAUAUUAUCAUUAACGAUAACCUGAUGAAGCUGUGGUAGAUAAUCAUCUGCAUGGAAGACUGCUUAUCACAAAGUAAAGUCUUCCUAUCACUUCAGGAGGAACAGCCACUCUAAACAGGGGCGUAGGAGAAGGGGAUAGCAUGUUCGUGCAUUUCUAGCCUCUCUUGGUCGAGGCCCUAAUAAGCGCGACAAAUCUGGACCAUCAUAUCUCUCGUUUUGUGAUCGAUCUUGUAUGUAAGCAACAAUAUUUUCUGUAGGUGCCAUCGUUUCUUGCCUCACCGGGUUGUUGUUUUGCGUAAAGUGGUAGCGAUUACGUUCAUUGUGAAACUGGUUCAGAUUAUGAAACUGGUCCAGAUUAAAUUUUGAUUCUGAUACAUUUUGAUAAAUGUUUGAAAACCAGCACAGUCGUGCGCACGGGUGAUAAUAAUUCUGUUGAUGAUAAACUCUAGCCUUUUUCAGGUUACCUGUAUCAUGAUAAACUGUACCGUCAAUUUCCAGUGCCCAUGCACACUAAAGAAACUAGACAGUCUGGCUGUUGUCGAGUCUUUUUUAAAUGGAAUUUUCGAACAAUAUUUCCUGUAAAAUGGCAUUUUGGAACAAUAUUUCCUGUAGGUGCCAUCGUUUCUUGCAUCACUGGCUUGUUGUUUCGCGUAAAGCGGUAGCGAUUACGUUCAUUGUGAAACUGGUUUAGAUUAUGAAACUGGUUUAGAUUAUGAAACUGGUUCAGAUUAUUUUUGGAUUCUGAAUAGGUUGCCAGCACAGUCGUGCGCACGGGUGAUGAUAAUUCUGUUGAUGAUAACCUUUACUAGCCUUUUUCACGUCACCUGUAUCAUGAUAAACUGUACCAAGGUUGUUGUAAGUAUCGUAAAGUUUGAGCAAAACUGAAACAUUUGUAUUGUAAAACGUCCCACGUUCUGAAAAACUUUUUUUAGUUGGUGAAUAGUGCUUCUAAAUGUGGAAUCAAUUUAAUUUAUCGUCUUUAUCUUUACGUCUUUAUCUCAAAUAAAGUGUUCGAACAACAUUAUGAAUUCUCCUUCCCAUUCUGAAUAUCCCCUGCUCUUUUGUUGAGAGUUCCGCUCUGCCGGCCAGCUGAGAUAAACUGGUUUGAAAUUGUUAUUAAAUUAAUUGCAUCUGACGUGUUCUGACUUAGUGCUCGAGAAAGAAAACACAGAUAAACCAUCUUGCAAGUUAUUCAGGAUAAUACAAGGUAUUUUGUAAAGUUUGUAAAGAGGAUAAACGUGUGCCCAGGAAAACGUGGACAAACAUGAUAAAGAUUAUAAACAUGAGUCCAUAAAUUCCUGCGCGUUGAUCAUAACGAAAUAUAUCCCGAUUAAAAACAGUGGCAGAUUAUAAAAAUCCCAAAUUCCAAUACGAUUCCCUGAUUAUAUGUUUAUGCCCUUGCCUUAAAUCUAGACUAAAAAUUAAUUAGUAUAUAAUGAAGUAAAAAUAAAAAGUGCUGAGGUUGACCGAUUUUUUUCAUUAAACGUCUGGAUCUAAACAAAUGAGAAGAGGUAUGUUUACACCAGCACAGGCAAAAAACUAUAAUUAAU